ensembl:snoRNA SNORD58 Small nucleolar RNA SNORD58
UUGCUGUGAUGACGAUCUUAGGACACCUUUGGAAUUAAUAAUGAAAACAACUUUGAAAUCUGAGCAAC